AUGAUUUCUUCUGCUACAGGUCCAUGGCAUUGGCACCAUCCCAACGAAAUUGAUGUGCCAAGUUCUUCAAGGACCGGUGACGUUACUGAAAAUACAACUGCUCAUAAUUCAUUCAGAAGAAAAAGGAGAAGGGGCGAGAAUUCAACAGAUGUCCCCACAGCUAACACUGGCCCUUGGAGCAAGGACCAAAUUUCGAAAAGGAUACAAGACAUAACUAGUCAGUUGCGAGAUAUCCGAGGAAACGUGCGACGGCUUCUCAAGAUGCUUGGGCCAGGGUCUUGUGCAGGUCCAAAUCGCUGCCAGAGUACAACCACCUCAAACCCACUCCGGGGCACAUCAAGUCUUGUUCAAGGGAAAGUGUAUGGCAGAGCUGAAGAGAAGAGUUGCAUCAUAGAGUUGAUAAAAGAACGCAAAUCAGAUGCUGGGGUGACUGUUCUGCCAAUUGUAGGCGUUGCAGGAGUUGGGAAGACGACUCUAGCUCAACUUGUAUACAAUGAUCGAGAUUUGGAGAGUCAAUUUGACCUCCGGAUAUGGAUCUGGGUCUCUAGCAGCUUUGAUGAAACCAGAGUCACAAGAGAGAUGUUAGAUUUUUGUCUCCCUGGGAGCACAUGA
rnacentral:rRNA from 1 species